CACUAUCGUUAACUGAAUACAUAGGUUAACGAGGCGAACCGGGGGAACUGAAACAUCUAAGUACCCCGAGGAAAAGAAAUCAACCGAGAUUCCCCCAGUAGCGGCGAGCGAACGGGGAGCAGCCCAGAGUCUGAAUCAGCUUGUGUGUUAGUGGAACGGUCUGGAAAGUCCGACGGUACAGGGUGAUAGUCCCGUACACCAAAAUGCACAGGUUGUGAACUCGAAGAGUAGGGCGGGACACGUGGUAUCCUGUCUGAAUAUGGGGGGACCAUCCUCCAAGGCUAAAUACUCCUGACUGACCGAUAGUGAACCAGUACCGUGAGGGAAAGGCGAAAAGAACCCCGGCGAGGGGAGUGAAAAAGAACCUGAAACCGUGUACGUACAAGCAGUGGGAGCACCUUCGGGUGUGACUGCGUACCUUUUGUAUAAUGGGUCAGCGACUUAUAUUCUGUAGCAAGGUUAACCGUAUAGGGGAGCCGCAGGGAAACCGAGUCUUAACUGGGCGUUAAGUUGCAGGGUAUAGACCCGAAACCCGGUGAUCUAGCCAUGGGCAGGUUGAAGGUUGGGUAACACUAACUGGAGGACCGAACCGACUAAUGUUGAAAAAUUAGCGGAUGACUUGUGGCUGGGGGUGAAAGGCCAAUCAAACCGGGAGAUAGCUGGUUCUCCCCGAAAGCUAUUUAGGUAGCGCCUCGUGAACUCAUCUUCGGGGGUAGAGCACUGUUUCGGCUAGGGGGUCAUCCCGACUUACCAACCCGAUGCAAACUACGAAUACCGAAGAAUGUUAUCACGGGAGACACACGGCGGGUGCUAACGUCCGUCGUGAAGAGGGAAACAACCCAGACCGCCAGCUAAGGUCCCAAAGUCAUGGUUAAGUGGGAAACGAUGUGGGAAGGCACAGACAGCCAGGAUGUUGGCUUAGAAGCAGCCAUCAUUUAAAGAAAGCGUAAUAGCUCACUGGUCGAGUCGGCCUGCGCGGAAGAUGUAACGGGGCUAAACCAUGCACCGAAGCUGCGGCAGCGACACUAUGUGUUGUUGGGUAGGGGAGCGUUCUGUAAGCCUGCGAAGGUGUGCUGUGAGGCAUGCUGGAGGUAUCAGAAGUGCGAAUGCUGACAUAAGUAACGAUAAAGCGGGUGAAAAGCCCGCUCGCCGGAAGACCAAGGGUUCCUGUCCAACGUUAAUCGGGGCAGGGUGAGUCGACCCCUAAGGCGAGGCCGAAAGGCGUAGUCGAUGGGAAACAGGUUAAUAUUCCUGUACUUGGUGUUACUGCGAAGGGGGGACGGAGAAGGCUAUGUUAGCCGGGCGACGGUUGUCCCGGUUUAAGCAUGUAGGCUGGUUGUCCAGGCAAAUCCGGAUAAUCAAGGCUGAGGUGUGAUGACGAGGCACUACGGUGCUGAAGUAACAAAUGCCCUGCUUCCAGGAAAAGCCUCUAAGCAUCAGGUAACAUUAAAUCGUACCCCAAACCGACACAGGUGGUCAGGUAGAGAAUACCAAGGCGCUUGAGAGAACUCGGGUGAAGGAACUAGGCAAAAUGGUGCCGUAACUUCGGGAGAAGGCACGCUGGUGUGUAGGUGAAGUCCCUGCGGAUGGAGCUGAGACCAGUCGAAGAUACCAGCUGGCUGCAACUGUUUAUUAAAAACACAGCACUGUGCAAACACGAAAGUGGACGUAUACGGUGUGACGCCUGCCCGGUGCCGGAAGGUUAAUUGAUGGGGUUAUCCGUAAGGAGAAGCUCUUGAUCGAAGCCCCGGUAAACGGCGGCCGUAACUAUAACGGUCCUAAGGUAGCGAAAUUCCUUGUCGGGUAAGUUCCGACCUGCACGAAUGGCGUAAUGAUGGCCAGGCUGUCUCCACCCGAGACUCAGUGAAAUUGAACUCGCUGUGAAGAUGCAGUGUACCCGCGGCAAGACGGAAAGACCCCGUGAACCUUUACUAUAGCUUGACACUGAACAUUGAGCCUUGAUGUGUAGGAUAGGUGGGAGGCUUUGAAGCGUGGACGCCAGUCUGCGUGGAGCCAACCUUGAAAUACCACCCUUUAAUGUUUGAUGUUCUAACGUUGGCCCCUUACCGGGGUUGCGGACAGUGUCUGGUGGGUAGUUUGACUGGGGCGGUCUCCUCCCAAAGCGUAACGGAGGAGCACGAAGGUUAGCUAAUCCUGGUCGGACAUCAGGAGGUUAGUGCAAUGGCAUAAGCUAGCUUGACUGCGAGCGUGACGGCGCGAGCAGGUGCGAAAGCAGGUCAUAGUGAUCCGGUGGUUCUGAAUGGAAGGGCCAUCGCUCAACGGAUAAAAGGUACUCCGGGGAUAACAGGCUGAUACCGCCCAAGAGUUCAUAUCGACGGCGGUGUUUGGCACCUCGAUGUCGGCUCAUCACAUCCUGGGGCUGAAGUAGGUCCCAAGGGUAUGGCUGUUCGCCAUUUAAAGUGGUACGCGAGCUGGGUUUAGAACGUCGUGAGACAGUUCGGUCCCUAUCUGCCGUGGGCGCUGGAGAAUUGAGGGGGGCUGCUCCUAGUACGAGAGGACCGGAGUGGACGCAUCACUGGUGUUCGGGUUGUCAUGCCAAUGGCACUGCCCGGUAGCUAAAUGCGGAAGAGAUAAGUGCUGAAAGCAUCUAAGCACGAAACUUGCCCCGAGAUGAGUUCUCCCUGAGACUUUAAGUCUCCUGAAGGAACGUUAAAGACGAUGACGUUGAUAGGCCGGGUGUGUAAGCGCAGCGAUGCGUUGAGCUAACCGGUACUAAUGAACCGUGAGGCUUAACCUUACAACGCCGAAG
rnacentral:rRNA from 1 species